CAGUCGCCGCGGUUAUACCAGCAGCCCAAGUGGUGGUCGCGUUUAUUGGGCCUAAAGCGCUCGUAGCCUGACCGGUAAGUUCCCCGUGAAAUCGGGUCGCCCAACGAUUCGGCUUGCGGGGAAUACUGUCGGUCUUGGGGCCGGGAGACGCCGAGGGUACUCCGGGGGUAGCGGUGAAAUGCUGUAAUCCUCGGGGGACUACCAGUGGCGAAGGCGCUCGGCGAUAACGGGCCUGACGGUGAGGGGCGAAAGCUGGGGGCGCGAACGGGAUUAGAUACCCCCGUAGUCCCUGUCUCUUAUA
rnacentral:rRNA from 1 species